rnacentral:lncRNA from 1 species
AACAAAUGUGAUUAGGAAAGUUUCAGGUAUAAAUGAUGCAAAAUACAGCAAUUUAUGGCUUACUUGACGCAAAAGAAAGCUCACAAACGAGAUGGAAAGGAGCUGGACGCAUAAAGGACUAAAUCUGCUGCAUGGAAAAUCUGUCCCGGGCUAAAACAGCAUUUCUGAAGACUUUGGGACUUACAGACACAAAGCUGGAUUUUUGCCAUAAUACAUUAACCUAGUGCAAUUAGGUUAUGUGUUUCAUCAUUCUAUUUGGAUUAUAAUUUUGUAACCUUACCCUAGUACAAUUGGGUCAAGGAUUUCAUUAGUAUAUUAGGAUUUGGUUAUUUAUUUUAUUAGUUUAGGAGGAGUAGGAUAGGAGUAUUAUAAAUACCCUAUCAUGUUAGAGAUUUUAAAG